rnacentral:rRNA from 1 species
AUUGAACGCUGGCGGCAGGCCUAACACAUGCAAGUCGAGCGAGCGGCGGACGGGUGAGUAAUGUAUGGGGACUGCCCGAUAGAGGGGGAUAACUACUGGAAACGGUAGCUAAUACCGCAUACUAUCGGAUAACCCAUAUGGGAUUAGCUAGUAGGUGAGGUAAUGGCUCACCUAGGCGACGAUCCCUAGCUGGUCUGAGAGGAUGAUCAGCCAAACUGGGACUGAGACACGGCCCAAACUCCUACGGGGGCAGGAGUGGGGAAUAUUGCACAAUGGGGGCAAGCCUGAUGCAGCCAAGCCGCGUGUAUGAAGAAGGCCCUAGGGUUGUAAAGUACUUUCAGUCGGGAGGCGUUACCCGCAGAAGAAGCACCGGCUAACUCCGUGCCAGCAGCCGCGGUAAUAC